GUGAAUCAUCAAAUUUUUGAACGCAAAUUGCACUCUCUGGUAUUCCGGAGAGUAUACCUGUUUGAGGGUCAGUUUAAAUUCAAAUCGGUGUGGUUGCUGCCUUUCGUGGUGAUGCUUCGUAUUAGGGUUGUCUUGCCUUCGGUUAAGUGAUCUACAAUUUUGCCUGAUUUUUUUCGAACGU
rnacentral:misc_RNA from 1 species